rnacentral:rRNA from 1 species
GACGAACGCUGGCGGCGUGCCUAAUACAUGCAAGUCGAGCGGACAGAUGGGAGCUUGCUCCCUGAUGUUAGCGGCGGACGGGUGAGUAACACGUGGGUAACCUGCCUGUAAGACUGGGAUAACUCCGGGAAACCGGGGCUAAUACCGGAUGGUUGUUUGAACCGCAUGGUUCAAACAUAAAAGGUGGCUUCGGCUACCACUUACAGAUGGACCCGCGGCGCAUUAGCUAGUUGGUGAGGUAACGGCUCACCAAGGCAACGAUGCGUAGCCGACCUGAGAGGGUGAUCGGCCACACUGGGACUGAGACACGGCCCAGACUCCUACGGGAGGCAGCAGUAGGGAAUCUUCCGCAAUGGACGAAAGUCUGACGGAGCAACGCCGCGUGAGUGAUGAAGGUUUUCGGAUCGUAAAGCUCUGUUGUUAGGGAAGAACAAGUACCGUUCGAAUAGGGCGGUACCUUGACGGUACCUAACCAGAAAGCCACGGCUAACUACGUGCCAGCAGCCGCGGUAAUACGUAGGUGGCAAGCGUUGUCCGGAAUUAUUGGGCGUAAAGGGCUCGCAGGCGGUUUCUUAAGUCUGAUGUGAAAGCCCCCGGCUCAACCGGGGAGGGUCAUUGGAAACUGGGGAACUUGAGUGCAAAAGAGGAGAGUGGAAUUCCACGUGUAGCG